rnacentral:rRNA from 1 species
UACGAAGGGGGCUAGCGUUGUUCGGAAUUACUGGGCGUAAAGGGCGCGUAGGCGGUCCUGAUCGUCGGAUGUGAAAGGCCUGGGCUCAACCUGGGAAUGGCAUCCGAUACGGCGGGACUGGAGUGUGGGAGAGGUUGGUGGAAUUCCCAGUGUAGAGGUGAAAUUCGUAGAUAGUUGGGAAGAACACCGGUGGCGAAGGCGGCCAACUGGACCACAACUGACGCUGAGGCGCGAAAGCGUGGGGAGCAAACAGG